CCUACGGGAGGCAGCAGUGGGGAAUAUUGGGCAAUGGGCGCAAGCCUGACCCAGCAACGCCGCGUGAAGGAAGACUGCCCUACGGGUUGUAAACUUCUUUUAUAAAGGAAUAAAGUGAGGCACGUGUGCCUUUUUGUAUGUACUUUAUGAAUAAGGAUCGGCUAACUCCGUGCCAGCAGCCGCGGUAAUACGGAGGAUCCGAGCGUUAUCCGGAUUUAUUGGGUUUAAAGGGAGCGUAGAUGGGUUGUUAAGUCAGUUGUGAAAGUUUGCGGCUCAACCGUAAAAUUGCAAUUGAUACUGGCAGCCUUGAGUACAGUUGAGGUAGGCGGAAUUCGUGGUGUAGCGGUGAAAUGCUUAGAUAUCACGAAGAACUCCGAUUGCGAAGGCAGCUUACUAAACUGCCACUGACAUUGAUGCUCGAAAGUGUGGGUAUCAAACAGGAUUAGAUACCCCGGUAGUC
rnacentral:rRNA from 1 species